rnacentral:rRNA from 1 species
UACGGGGGGGGGCAAGCGUUUGUUCGGAAUUACUGGGCGUAAAGGGCUCGUAGGCGGCCAACUAAGUCGGAUGUGAAAUCCCCAGGCUUAACCUGGGAACUGCAUCCGAUACUGGAUGGCUUGAAUCCGGGAGAGGGAUGCAGAAUUCCAGGUGUAGCGGUGAAAUGCGUAGAUAUCUGGAGGAAUACCGGUGGCGAAGGCGCAUCCUGGACCGGCAUUGACGCUGAGGCACGAAAGCGCGGGGAGCAAACAGG